ACAGAUGACUGACCAUCCAAUGGGUGGAGGAGUCACAGGAUGGGAAGAAGUCCCAUUAUCAGCAGCACCAAAUAAGUCUGCUAUUUCCUUAUACACCUCUCCAACCAGAGGGUUCCACAUGGAUGCUUUAAUGACCCAUCAUGACAAAGAUGGUUAAAAGAGGAGAACAGAGAGGAAGAGCAGUAUAAACAUACAUAAUGAGGGU